rnacentral:rRNA from 1 species
GACGAACGCUGGCGGCGUGCUUAACACAUGCAAGUCGAACGGAAAGGCCCUGCGUUUGUGGGGUGCUCGAGUGGCGAACGGGUGAGUGACACGUGAGUAACAUGCCCUUGACUGUGGGGUAACUUCCGGAAACUGGGGCUAAUACCGGGUAGGAGCUCCUGCUGCAUGGGGGGGGUGGGAAAGAGUCGGCGGUUGGCGUUGGUCUAGCGGCGUAUCAUCGUGUUGGAGGGGUAGGGGCUUACCAAGGCUUUGCAGGGUGGCGGGCCGGAGAUGGUGCCCGGCCCCAUCGGGACUGGGAUACGGCCCAGACUCCUACGGGAGGCAGCAGUGGGGAAUAUUGCACCAUGGGCGGAAGCCUGAUGCAGCAACGCCGCGUGCGGGAUGACGGUCUUCGGGUUGUAACCCGCUUUCGCCUGUGACGAAGCGUGAGUGACGGUAAUGGGUAAAGAAGCACCGGCUAACUACGUG